rnacentral:rRNA from 1 species
UACGUAGGGUGCAAGCGUUGUCCGGAAUUAUUGGGCGUAAAGAGCUCGUAGGCGGUUUGUUGCGUCGGCUGUGAAAUCCCGAGGCUCAACCUCGGGUCUGCAGUCGAUACGAGCAAACUAGAGUGUUGCAGGGGAGACUGGAAUUCCUGGUGUAGCGGUGAAAUGCGCAGAUAUCAGGAGGAACACCGGUGGCGAAGGCGGGUCUCUGGGCCGAUACUGACGCU